GGAGGGUUGGCCGAGUGGUCUAAGGCGGUAGACUUAAGAUCUACUGGUGUUAUCACCGCGCGAGUUCGAACCUCGCAUCCUUCA
rfam:Candida arabinofermentans NRRL YB-2248 unplaced genomic scaffold CANARscaffold_17, whole genome shotgun sequence.